rnacentral:rRNA from 1 species
GACGAACGCUGGCGGCGUGCUUAACACAUGCAAGUCGAACGGAAAGGCCCUGCUUGCAGGGUGCUCGAGUGGCGAACGGGCGAGUAACACGUGGGUGAUCUGCCCCUUACUUUGGGAUAAGCCUGGGAAACUGGGUCUAAUACUGGAUAGGACCAUGCUGUAGGUGGUGUGGUGGAAAGAUUAGUUUCGGUAAGGGAUGAGCUCGCGGCCUAUCAGCUUGUUGGUGGGGUAAUGGCCUACCAAGGCGUCGACGGGUAGCCGGCCUGAGAGGGUGGACGGCCACAUUGGGACUGAGAUACGGCCCAGACUCCUACGGGAGGCAGCAGAGGGGAAUAUUGCACAAUGGGCGCAAGCCUGAUGCAGCGACGCCGCGUGGGGGAUGACGGCCUUCGGGUUGUAAACUCCUUUCAGCCAUGACGAAGCCCUUGUGGUGACGGUAGUGGUAGAAGAAGCACCGGCUAACUACGUG